rnacentral:rRNA from 1 species
UACAGAGGGUGCGAGCGUUAAUCGGAAUUACUGGGCGUAAAGCGCACGCAGGUGGCUGAGUCAGUCGAUUGUGAAAGCCCUGGGCUUAACCUGGGAAUUGCAGUCGAUACUACUCGGCUUGAGUAUGGGAGAGGGCAGUGGAAUUCCCGGUGUAGCGGUGAAAUGCGUAGAUAUCGGGAGGAACAUCAGUGGCGAAGGCGGCUGCCUGGCCCAAUACUGACACUCAGGUGCGACAGCGUGGGGAGCAAACAGGG